CAAAUACAAAUUAAAUUCGAUAGCCACUAUGGGGAGCGCAGUGGCUAAAAAAAAUCCCUGGCUUAGCCUAACAGAGGAGUACAAUGCCAUAGAAACGAAUUCAAAAAGGACUGAAGCUCAACUUAAAAAAUGUUGGGACCAGGCGUAAAAGUAUGUUGGCCUUAGAGAAAAGGGAAAGGAUGAGGACCGGUGGUGGUUCCUCUAAUGCUUACAUACCUAGUACCAGUACUGGAGGAUGCUCUCGCUGAACAGACAGAUGUGGAGUUGGCAGAUGUAAUCGACAGUGAUAACAUACCUUGUAGUGCAGUAAUCCAAAUUGAUGAUGUGAUGUUGUUAGACAUGUCAUCUCAAGUACCAGCAGUUGAACAUGUGUCAGAAAGAGAAAACAUUAUAAACACUCCUCCACAUUUGACAGAGUCCCGUUUGACUGAUUAUAGUGCAG